UGGGGAAUAUUGGACAAUGGGCGAAAGCCUGAUCCAGCAAUGCCGCGUGUGUGAAGAAGGCCUGCGGGUUGUAAAGCACUUUUGGCAGGGAAGAAAAGCGCGGGAUUAAUAACCCCGUGAAUUGACGUCACCUGCAGAAAAAGCACCGGCUAACUCUGUGCCAGCAGCCGCGGUAAUACAGAGGGUGCAAGCGUUAAUCGGAAUUACUGGGCGUAAAGCGCGCGUAGGCGGUCGGGUAAGUCGAUUGUGAAAUCCCCGGGCUUAACCUGGGAAUUGCAGUCGAUACUGCCCGGCUAGAGUGUGGAAGAGGGAAGCGGAAUUUCCGGUGUAGCGGUGAAAUGCGUAGAUAUCGGAAGGAACACCAGUGGCGAAGGCGGCUUCCUGGUCCAACACUGACGCUGAGGCGCGAAAGCGUGGGUAGCGAACAGG
rnacentral:rRNA from 1 species